AACUACGUGCCAGCAGCCGCGGUAAUACGUAGGGUGCGAGGGUUGUCCGGAAUUACUGGGCGUAAAGAGCUCGUAGGUGGUUUGUCGCGUUGUUCGUGAAAACUCGCAGCUUAACUGUGGGCGUGCGGGCGAUACGGGCAGACUGGAGUACUGCAGGGGAGACUGGAAUUCCUGGUGUAGCGGUGGAAUGCGCAGAUAUCAGGAGGAACACCGGUGGCGAAGGCGGGUCUCUGGGCAGUAACUGACGCUGAGGAGCGAAAGCGUGGGGAGCGAACAGGAUUAGAAACCCGGGUAGUCCUGA
rnacentral:rRNA from 1 species